rnacentral:rRNA from 1 species
UUUAAGUGUAAAUUUAUGAACUAAAUUAGUAAUAGUUAUUUUCUUUAAAGUUAAAGAAUUUGGCGGUAUUUUAGUCUAUUCAGAGGAACCUGUUCUGUAAUUGAUAGUCCACGAUUAAUAUUACUUAAUUUUAAAAGCUUGUAUAUCGUUGUUUAUAGAAAAUUUUAUCAGAAUAAUAAUUUUUAAUAAAUUUAAUAAAAUUAUAAAUCAAAUCAAGGUGCAGUUUAUAGUUAAGAAGAAAUGGGUUACAAUAAAAUUAUUUAUAAUGAAUUUUUGGUUUAAAUAUUGAGAUGAAGGUGGAUUUGAUAGUAAUAUUAUUAAUUUAAAUAAUAUGAUUUUAGCUCUAAAAUAUGU